ensembl:snRNA U6 U6 spliceosomal RNA
GUGCUUACCACCACAGCUCAUAUUGUGCAAUUGGAAUAAUAGAAAGAAAAUUAAUAUGACCACAGAAUAAGGAAAAUACACAAAUUCGUAAAAGCAUUCAAUAUUUUU